rnacentral:tRNA from 1 species
GUAUAUAUAGCUCAGUGGUAGAGUGCAUGCCUAGUGUACAUGAGGUCCUGGGUUCAAUUCCCGAUACUGUCA